rnacentral:tRNA from 1 species
GGGCCUGUGGCGCAAUUGAUAACGCGUCUGACUACGAAUCAGAAGAUUCCAGGUUCGAAUGCUGGCAGGCUUG